rnacentral:sRNA from 1 species
UGAUGAAAAUUUUAACCUUGUCUAGUGUAUUUUUCUUGUAAAUUCAUCACCAUUACUGUGGGAGUUUGUUCGAAGUUACUGGAUGCAGCGUUUAUGCAAUGAGAGGUGAUACAGUUUGCAAAUCUGCAACCCUCUAGGAUCAAUGAGAAUUUCUAUUUUUGAUAGCAAAAGCUUUAAUGGUUAGGAGUGCAUGCAGAAAUGUUUUGUUCAUG